UACAAUCUUUGGGGAAUGGUGAAAUUCCAUAUCGGCGGUAUAGUCCGCGCGGCAAAAAAUGCCUGACAGAGUGUGAUUCUCUGACCGACGGUAAAAGUCCGGAUGAAAAAAGAGGUGU
rnacentral:ncRNA from 2 species